AUUUAAAUGGAGCUAAAUGAAAUGAAAAUCCAAUUCUCAUUUAAAGAGACAAAACCAUUUUGUUCUCAUCCUAAUUUGGGCCAAAAUGCAAUAAUCUCAACUUUUUGGGCUAUGUUGCAAAACUUAAACUUUUGAGCUCAUUUUGUAAAAACACAAAAGUCCACUACUUCAUGUAAUCACAACUAGAACCCAAAAAUUUCAACAAAUUGAAAAACAUCAUUAAAGGAACAAAACAAUUUGUCCUUUAAUGAUUUUGGGCCUUUACGUAAAUACGUAAACUUUUGGGCCAAAGUUGCAAAUACACAAAAGUACCAAAACUUUAUGUAAUUGCAUAAAAACCCCAAAAGCAUCCCACUUGUAGGGUGGCCGGUUUUAGAUAGAGUGAGGAAUGCAAAAUUUUGAAAUUUUUCAACAAAGUCAUAAAGCCAUGCAAGUGGUGUGUGUGACAUAA
rnacentral:lncRNA from 1 species